UAAAUAUAACUAGGCCGCAACUAAUUGCUGAAAAUAGAUUUGCUAUAGGUGACUAUAUAGAUGACUGGACUGUUUUGCUGAGGAAAAAUAUUGGAUAACCAAUAAAUAAGAGUAAGAGUAAAAAGAUUGGAUAACCAUUAAAUAGUCGAUCAAUAAAAAUCUGUUACCAUCUCAAGAAAUAAAAUUACAACUCACUUAGUAUCCUUUUUAAUUAAGAAAUUUGUCCAGCCAUCUGUCAAAGAGAAUGAACUCACAAUCAUUCCAACAAAUGUCAAUAGAAAUUGCAAGUUGAAAAUCCAGACAGAGUUGCAGAGAACAACGACAUCGAACAUCAGUAAUAGAACCAAUCAUCGUUAUAGCUCUUGCUCAAGUUUUAGUCAAUGUAACUGGACAACAACUAAUUGAUCUAGUUUUAGGUGUUGCCCUGUUAUAUAAUAAAAUAAUAAGCUUUAUAAUGGUCAUACUCUUCAGACACAUUUGUUAUUGAAUUUGAG
rnacentral:misc_RNA from 1 species